UAUUUGUUAUGCACCAUAAAAUGUAAAUUUCAGUUUAACUCUUAUUAGAACACAAUUAAUUGGUCCUGUAAAUAACCGUUUGUUUUAUUGCGGGAGCAUAAUUCAGACGCACUCCCCGCGGACACGGUGAGCCAAUUUAAUGUAUUUGGCCUGAGUUAUGCGCUUGGCGCACUAUUUUACAUUCUCGAAUAAACCGACCAAGUAGGCAUCGUUAGCUUCUCGGGGCAUCAUUACGACCGAGCUUUGUAAGCGUAGCUCGACUUUGCAGUCCUGCACAAUCUCACGACCCAGACGCUGGAACGAUAGCCUACAGAUUAGUUGCUCUGUUGCUGUUCCGGCAUCACUGCAGCACUCACCACAGAUCAGGCAGGUGGGAACUCUCCUGUACGGUAAAGAAACGUCAAAAAAGUAAUCCAACGUGAUCGCAAUUGUGUGGAGAACAAAGUGACACGUAUAAUACGGCAGGAAAAUUUAUAGAGCAGGACUGUGCAUUUAACUAAUUAAUUAAUAUUUAGUAUCGAUCAAAUUAGCCUUUUUCUUGGUGGCGCGCUGAAAGCCUAUGUUUAGCUGUAGGAGCGUGAAAUUUGUAUUAUUCUCAUUUUCGAGACAGGAUCGGUGUAAUAGAGGUGACGCGGGUUCAACAGACAGGAAUUCGAACCUCGUCAAAAAUAGAAGUUGUGCAAAUUAUAAAACAACUAGAUUUGCUAGAAGGAUCAGUUGCAAUUCGUCUCACUUACCUGCUCGAUACGAUUGAUAGGCAUUGAUAGAUUGAUUCGGAUAGCGUGAUACUAGGGGAAGACUUAAUCUUUGAGCUGCUGCACUGUGCGCAAGGCUGCUUCAAGGGACUCCCAUUGUCCGAACAAUCUCCCCAACAUCCU